UGGGAGGAGGGUGUGAGAAGACAGUUGUUUGUGUUGUAGGGAGAGUGAAGACAGUAGUUUGUGUUGUAUGUAAGGAGGUAGGGAGAGUGAAGACAGUAGUUUGUGUUGUUUGUGUUGUAUGUAAGGAGGUAGGGAGAGUGAAGACAGUAGUUUGUGUUGUAUGUAAGGAGGUAGGGAGAGUGAAGACAGUAGUUUGUGUUGUUUGUGUUGUAUGUAAGGAGGUAGGGAGAGUGAAGACAGUAGUUUGUGUUGUAUGUAAGGAGGUAGGGAGAGUGAAGACAGUAGUUUGUGUUGUUUGUGUUGUAUGUAAGGAGGUAGGGAGAGUGAAGACAGUAGUUUGUGUUGUAUGUAAGGAGGUAGGGAGAGUGAAGACAGUAGUUUGUGUUGUUUGUGUUGUAUGUAAGGAGGUAGGGAGAGUGAAGACAGUAGUUUGUGUUGUAUGUAAGGAGGUAGGGAGAGUGAAGACAGUAGUUUGUGUUGUAUGUAAGGAGGUAGGGAGAGUGAAGACAGUAGUUUGUGUUGUUUGUAAGGAGGUAGGGAGAGUGAAGACAGUAGUUUGUGUUGUAUGUGUUGUAUGUAAGGAGGUAGGGAGAGUGAAGACAGUAGUUUGUGUUGUAUGUAAGGAGGUAGGGAGAGUGAAGACAGUAGUUUGUGUUGUAUGUAAGGAGGUAGGGAGAGUGAAGACAGUAGUUUGUGUUGUUUGUGUUGUAUGUAAGGAGGUAGGGAGA